rnacentral:lncRNA from 1 species
AGUUUAGAUAAAGGAGUGUCAAUAAAAAAAUCCAUAAGAAAAAUAAAAGAAAGAUUCAUAAGGGUGGGGAAAGAGAAAUAAGAAAAGAGCUAAGGCUAAGAAAAGAGUGAAAAAAUCUCUAGUAUACAAAAAAAAAAGAAAGAGUUCUAAAGUGAGAGUGAUCUUGAGUGUUCUUUAAAUCUUUGGGUGAGUGAAAGGGGGUUUGACAUUGGGAAUCAAGGGUAGAAAUUGUUUGUGUCUAGGAAAUGGGUGAGUGAAUGAGGAUUGAACAUUAUAUGCAUGAGUUGUUCUCUUUCUUAGAUAUAUUAUGCAUAAUGUCAAGCUACUUGUUCUUGAGAGUAGACCACCUU